CAUUACUGGGUCACCGAGCGCUUCGGCGUUCACCCCCACCCUUCUGUCUACCGACUAGCUUCGGCUCGAGGCUGGCCCCCGAUGACUCGGGGGCCCGCCGGCCGAGAAUCAACUCUGAACAACAUUGCAGACUGAAGUAACAAGCAAAUAGUUAAAACUUUCAACAACGGAUCUCUUGGUUCUGGCAACGAUGAAGAACGCAGCGAAAUGCGAUAAGUAAUGUGAAUUGCAGAAUUCAGUGAAUCAUCGAAUCUUUGAACGCACAUUGCGCCCUCUGGUAUUCCGGGGGGCACACCUGUUCGAGCGCCAUUUCAACCCUCAAGCCUCGCUUGGUGAUGGGCCCCGCCCCUGCGGCGGGCCCGAAACUCGUGGGCGUGUCCUGCCGGCUUCAAGCGUAGCAAAACCCUCGCUUUGGAGACCGGCCGGCCGCCGCCUCGAAACGAAUUUUUACAAGGUUGGCCUCGGAUCAGGUGGGGAUACCCGCUGAACUUAA
rnacentral:rRNA from 1 species